UACCAGCACCCCGAGURGUCGGGACGAUUAUUGGGCCUAAAGCAUCCGUAGCCGGUUCURCAAGUCYUCCGUUAAAUCCAUCUGCUUAACAGAUGGGCUGCGGAGGAUACUAUGGAGCUAGGAGGCGGGAGAGGCAAGCGGUACUYAGUGGGUAGGGGUAAAAUCCKUUGAUCCACUGAAGACCACCAGUGGCGAAGGCGGCUUGCCAGAACGCGCUCGACGGUGAGGGAUGAAAGCUGGGGGAGCAAACCGGAUUAGAUACCCGGGUAGUCCCAGCUGUAAACGAUGCAGACUCGGUGAUGRAWAGGCUUCGUGCCUUUUCAGUGCCGCAGGGAAGCCGUUAAGUCUGCCGCCUGGGGAGUACGGUCKCAAGACUGAAACUUWW
rnacentral:rRNA from 1 species